GAGGGGAGGUAGAAGAGUUAGAGACAGGAUAAAAAUAAGACUAAGAAGAACCUGACUGAGGCUAAGUGAUUUACCGGGGAGGACCUGGUUGGUGGCAGCGGAUUAGUGGUGUAUGGGUCAAUAGUCCAUGAGACGACCGGGGGCUCCGUAUGAACGCCACAAAGGUCUGCAUCAGCUUUGUGUGUACCCCAAAUUGUUCGGCUUCUUUUGUGAAGGGUCUCAUGAUUCCAAGUCAGAUUGCACCAUAAAUAAAAUUUCUCAAGCUGGAUUCCCUAAGCUUCUGAGUCUUUCUCUGGCCUCGGCUGUCUAAAAAAGAUACAUGACCAUCCUCUCCCUCCCACCCCAAAGAACAAAACCAUGAUGCUCGAGGAAACACCCUGGCCUCAAGGUGGGAGGUGAUUUAGAGGAGAUUUGUUUUUCAGGACAGGUCUAGCUUUUAAUCACAGUUACU